AUGAACGCUGACAGAAUGCUUAACACAUGCAAGUCAACUUGAACUUCGGUUUGGGUGGCGGACGGGUGAGUAACGCGUAAAGAACUUGCCUCACAGAUAGGGACAACAUUUGGAAACGAAUGCUAAUACCUGAUAUUAUGAUUUUAGGGCAUCCUAGGAUUAUGAAAGCUAUAUGCGCUGUGAGAGAGCUUUGCGUCCCAUUAGCUAGUUGGAGAGGUAACGGCUCACGAAGGCGAUGAUGGGUAGCCGGCCUGAGAGGGUGAUCGGCCACAAGGGGACUGAGACACGGCCCUUACUCCUACGGGAGGCAGCAGUGGGGAAUACUGGACAAUGGACCAAGAGUCUGAUCCAGCAAUUCUGUGUGCACGAUGAAGUUUUUCGGAAUGUAAAGUGCUUUCAGUUGGGAAGAAAAAAAUGACGGUACCAACAGAAGAAGUGACGGCUAAAUACGUG
rnacentral:rRNA from 1 species